UGCUGGACAAAAUCAGCUACCCUUCCGGUUCAACUCCGGUUGACCUAGUUGCUGAUUUAUCAAAAUUGCCUUUUUCAAGACGCUCUUUACUGGAUAAAAAAAAUUAUAAUGUAAACCCCACACUAAACCUGGAUUCACCAACACAGACCAGUAAGAACUUUGUAAGGUAUUUUAAAGACUGUAACUAUGAGCGCUAGGAGUGGCUAACAGCUAGCACUGAGCACAACAACCUGUGGAUUUUAUUUAGAAGUUAUGGACUGACAGCUCAAGCAUGAAGAGGUGAUGGAGUUCAGCAACAUUUCUUCUUGGUAACAUUUAUCUGAGUACACGGUGAAGCACUUUGAAGCUGUUCCUGCAGGUCAGAGCUGCUCCUCCUCAUUUCCCGUCCUGCAGGAUGAAGGAGCAGGUGCUGAUUAAACUGGAGGGGACUUCAUGGAGGUCCUUAUGCUGUUCACAUCCUCACGUCAUUCAAUGAAAAAUGAAUGGUUGCUCUCUUAAAAACUGUGACAUUGAGGAGCAGUAUAAAGCAGAAAAAAAAGGAAGAAGCAGAUCAUUAACUGGUGGGCUUUCUGCCACUGCUGCAUUACCAGCUCUUUAAUCUCAAGGUAGGGUCUCUAGCCAAGGAUAAAAGUUCAUUCGCAGGCUGAUAACAAUAAAUGUCAGUGUCAC